UGAGGAAUAUUGCGCAAUGGGGGCAACACUGACGCAGCAACGCCGCGAGAGUGAGGAAGGUUUUCGGAUCGUAAAGCUCUGUCGAGUGGGAAGAAAUGUAUCAUGGCUAAUAUCCAUGAUACUUGACGGUACCGCUAAAGGAAGCACCGGCUAACUCCGUGCCAGCAGCCGCGGUAAUACGGGGGGUGCAAGCGUUGUUCGGAAUUAUUGGGCGUAAAGAGCGUGUAGGCGGCUGAAUAAGUCAGAUGUGAAAUCCCUGGGCUUAACUCAGGAAGUGCAUUUGAAACUAUUCAGCUCGAGUAGGGGAGAGGAAAGUGGAAUUCCUGGUGUAGAGGUGAAAUUCGUAGAUAUCAGGAGGAACACCGGUGGUGAAGGCGACUUUCUGGCCCUAGACUGAGGCUGAUACGCGAGAGCGUGGGUAGCAAACA
rnacentral:rRNA from 1 species